CGGGCCAUACAUCUUUUUAGGCCGAAGUAGGCGCCAGUGAAUGGAACCGUCUCCGCAAAGGCAAUUUCGUUUUCUGUAGGUGGUUUGGUUUGGUUUGAUUAACUAGCACUAUACCAAUCAUUGAUUGAGCUUUAAUUUUUAGGCUGCGAGCGAUUUGCCAUUUGAUUUGAAUGUUUUGUAUUUGUCCAAUCAAAUGUCAGACCUCUUAAUUAAAAGCACAAGAAAGUGUUACAAACCCAGGGAUCGGAGUACUCAAAAGUCGAGACUUUGGCAGCUAGAGAGAGUGACCUUUUCCUUGUUUAAGCUAAUGUUACUGUUACUGGUAUAUUAAAUUUCCCUCUCCUUCGUCAAGAGGGAAAACCUGGUGGUUGGAACUUAAGAAAAUGUUUAUUUAGAUUCACGCAUGGAAUUGGAAGAGCUGAUGGGGCAUAUGUAAAACCUGGAAUCUCUUGACAAAUUUCUGUUUCCGUUGGCUGUAAAUGUUAUUGUAUUUCUAUUUCCACUCGAAGAAAUCGUAUGAGACAGGAAAUUGUCGUCAGGUUGUUGGUGAAACUUAGGUAUAUAUCUUGACUUAGAGCCUUGGAGGUUGCAUAUGAAAAAAAAAAAGGGGGGGCAUUUGCCACUAUUGUAACCAAUGUAUUGAAUUGAUGCAUACUUUUCAUUCCCCACGAAGAACUUUGGAGAACAUAUUCCCCUCGGAGAAGGUAAGACUUGGG
rnacentral:lncRNA from 1 species